rnacentral:pre_miRNA from 1 species
AAUUCAGAGUCAAACUCCUCAGUUUUCCAUGAAACUUCCCAUAUAAUUUCCAUGGAAAACUGAGGAGUUUGACUUUGAAUU